rnacentral:tRNA from 1 species
GGGGAUUUAGCUCAGUGGUAGAGCGCUUGCCUAGCAAGAGCAAGGCCCUGGUUUCAGUCCCCA